AGAAUCAACGCUGGCGGCGUGCCUAACACAUGCAAGUCGAGCGCGAAAGGGGGGGUAACUCCCCAAGUAGAGCGGCGAACGGGUGAGUAACGCGUGGGUCAUCUACCUUCGAGUGGGGAAUAACAGCGGGAAACUGCUGCUAAUACCGCAUGACAUCGUCGGGCUUACGGCCUGACGAUCAAAGCCGGGGACCGCAAGGCCUGGCGCUUGAAGAGGAGCCCGCGUCCGAUUAGCUAGUUGCGGGUAACGGCCCACAAGCGACGAUC
rnacentral:rRNA from 1 species